rnacentral:rRNA from 1 species
GACGAACGCUGGCGGCGUGCUUAACACGUGCAAGUCGAACGAUGAAGCCUAGCUUGCUAGGUGGAUUAGUGGCGAACGGGUGAGUAAUACGUGAGUGACCUACCUUUGACUCUGGGAUAAGCCUGGGAAACUGGGUCUAAUACCGGAUACGACCAAUCUCCGCAUGGGGUGUUGGUGGAAAGCGUUAUGGAGUGGUUUUAGAUGGGCUCACGGCCUAUCAGCUUGUUGGUGAGGUAAUGGCUUACCAAGGCGACGACGGGUAGCCGGCCUGAGAGGGUGACCGGCCACACUGGGACUGAGACACGGCCCAGACUCCUACGGGAGGCAGCAGUGGGGAAUAUUGCACAAUGGGCGCAAGCCUGAUGCAGCGACGCCGUGUGAGGGAUGACGGCCUUUCGGGUUGUAAACCUCUGUUAGCAUCGAAGAAGCGAAAGUGAUCGGUAGGUGCAGAGAAAG